rnacentral:rRNA from 1 species
CGAGCGUUAUCCGGAUUUAUUGGGCGUAAAGGGUGCGUAGGCGGCCUGUUAAGUUUAAGGUGAAAGCGUGGGGCUCAACCCCAUCGAGCCUUAGAUACUGUUGAGCUAGAGUACUGGAGAGGGAAGUGGAAUUCCAUGUGUAGCGGUAAAAUGCGUAGAUAUAUGGAGGAACACCAGAGGCGAAGGCGGCUUCCUAGCCAGAGACUGACGCUGAGGCACGAAAGCGUGGGGAGCAAAUAGGAUUAGAUACCCUAGUAGUCCACGCCGUAAACGAUGAAUACUAAGUUUUGGGGGAACUCAGAGCUGCAGUUAACGCAAUAAGUAUUCCGCCUGUGGAGUAUGCACGCAAGUGUGAAACAUAAAGGAAUUGACGGGGGCCCGCACAAGCGGUGGAGUAUGUGGUUUAAUUCGACGCAACGCGAAGAACCUUACCAGGCCUUGACAUCCCUUGCGAAGGUGUAGAGAUACAUUGGAGGUUAUCAAGGUGACAGGUGGUGCAUGGUUGUCGUCAGCUCGUGUCGUGAGAUGUUGGGUUAAGUCCCGCAACGAGCGCAACCCUUGUCGUCAGUUACCAAUAUUAAGUUAGGGACUCUGGCGAGACUGCCGGUGAUAAACCGGAGGAAGGUGGGGAUGACGUCAAAUCAUCAUGCCCCUUAUGGCCUGGGCUACACACGUACUACAAUGGCGUAUACAACGUGCAGCGACCUGGUGACAGGAAGCGAAUCACUUAAAGUACGUCUCAGUUCGGAUUGAAGUCUGCAACUCGACUUCAUGAAGUUGGAAUCGCUAGUAAUCGCGGAUCAGCAUGCCGCGGUGAAUACGUUCUCGGGCCUUGUACACACCGCCCGU